CAGCGCGCGCCUGAAAACCUCCGUUGAAAGCUCCCCACCUCCCGCCUACACUUGCAUACAAAAAUCAGCGGUUUCGGCACCACAAAUAAAUUUUUAAAGAAGACAAAGACAUGGCUGCUCCAGAAGGGGCACCCGGCAUGCCGCCGUCGGAGCCGCAGACGGGCCCCGACGGGGAGAUCAUCGGCGGCCCGCGGAACAUGCAGCAGGUGGCCGCGCAGCGCAGGCUGCAGCAGACGCAGGCGCAAGUUGACGAGGUGGUGGAUAUUAUGAAAACCAACGUCGAGAAAGUUCUGGAAAGGGACGCGAAAUUAUCAGAAUUAGAUGACAGAGCCGAUGCACUCCAGUACGGUGCGUCGCAGUUUGAACAACAGGCCAAGAGCUUAAAGAACAAAUUCUGGCUUCAAAAUCUAAAGAUGAUGAUAAUAAUGGGUGUGAUUGGAAUUGUCAUAAUAGGCUUGUUGUUUGGUGAUAACAUUAAACAAAUAUUUGGUUAGUUCGAUACCGCGGCACCCCGACUAUGACUGCCAUCCCAGCGGGUGUAUCGGACAUAGCCAGCAAUAUCACUAUGUCAGCUAAUACUAUUCAUUGAAAAUACAUGUAAGUUUCUUAUUCAACGCAUCUGUUGGGUUCUACUUAAACCGGGAAGCUGUCUCCAAAAUACAUGCUACGUAAAAACUAGGUACUUUAUAUUCUACUAUCUACUUGGUAAAUUAGGUAGCAACUUUAGAAUCUAGAAUACCUAAUAAUGGAACAAAAUGGGUAAAUAACAACGUUAUGAAAUACAUAUUAUAUACUUAGAUACUUAAAGAAGAAUACCAAAUACUUAAAGUGUUAACUUGAUGUUACCUAAAGUUGAACCACUUAAUGGGUCUAAGGUACUAAUUUCAUUUAAGUACCUAACCAUUGUAAAAUUUUAAUAUUUCUUAUUCUAUUAUUCGUUAAAAUGUAUGGGGUAAAAAGUAUAUCAAAGAAAUACUCAAAAUUCUGGUAAUAUUGUAUUAUAAUUUAUUUGCGUGCCUUGUUCUAGGAUACUAUCUAUGUACAAGUCCUAAAUAAGCGUAACAUUUAAGUUCUGGUUUGAGACCUCGCUGCGCGCUGUGACGCUGCUUUAAUUUUAACUCUAAAUCGGCCUAUGAAUGCUAGAAAAAAUGAAAAAUAAACUUAUAUUAGUGAGCGCGUUCUUCCAAUAGUAGUCGAACCUUUAUCGGUAUUAAAUAUAGCAUUCUUAUUAUAACCCACGUACUAAAACAGGAUAAAUAACAUAAAUAAUCACGAUAUUGGUUGUUUAUAAACAAAUGCAAUAAAAUACGAAAUGUAAAAUCGUGACACCAAAGUUAGCCGAAAUAGAAAUAAAUGGAAUUGAAUUAUUAAGUGAUAGGUGUAUAGAAUUAAGAUAUAUCUUGUUUAUUACAAAAUUGCAUAUCCGCUCUUUACUGAUUGGCAAAUGUAGUCGGAAUAUAAAAGUAGCUGAGGGAAAGAGAAUGCGAACCUGCGUGCCGUCAGAUUAUGGACUUAUGGAGCCUCUUGAAGUCAAUUAUUUGCAAAUGUAUAUGUUACACGUUAUUAAGGCUAUAUCAUUAUUUGCUAGUAUCAAUGUCAAUUAGGAAUUUAAUUUAAAAUCAAAGAAAUUCUGUACUUGAGGUACAUUCUUAAGCGAUGUCUAACAUAAAGUUAUUUUGAUUAAAAUGGACUGUAUUUAUAAUUUUUGUGUAAAUCGUAGGUGUAAUCUUAAAAAAAUUGCUUUUAUUUAUUCUUGUGCCUUCGAUUUUAUACGAACUAGAUAUUUUCACCCUUAUAUGAGUUAGACGAUCUUAGAAUUCGAUUGUCAGUUAGUUUCACAAUUAUUGUAGGACCUAGCUGUUAUUUAUUUUGAAAUAUUGAAUUAUAAAUUUAGAUGAAAAUUGUGAGUAUAGAUUAAUAAUAUGGUGCCAUUGACAAUAUUAGUUCUUUUAUAAUAACUGUGGAAUAAUGCGUGUUUCUACUGUAUCCAUAAAAUGGGAGAUUUUGUGGGUAUCUAUAACUUUUGACUUUUUGGUGUUGUGCAUAUCACAUAAUAUUAUAGAUAUUCCUUAAAUCUACUUUAUAUGCACUUAUGUUUAGCAGAUUAUUAUGAAUACAAUAGAGUUUACUCAAUUCGUUUUAAUGAUUAAAUCUUUAAAGAUACAUAUCUAGUGAUAUUCCUACUACCUAUGAAACUAAUGAAGAUCAUAUUUCUUACAAGCAGAUCGAUUCGUGGUGCCCCAAACUAAAUAUUGAACCUACAUUUUGUAAAUACAUACUCAAACUUUUUGACCUUCAUGUUGUUUUUCAUAACCAAAAUCAUAUCAAUAAAUAAAUUCAAGGUUUUAUAGAGUUAUACCUAUUUAUAUUACAAAUUUUGAUUCAACGAAUAGAAAUAAAAUACUUACAAUUUAAAUUUAUGAUGUUGUGAUUGUACAUAUUUAAUCUUGGACUUAUUUUUGGCCUGAAACACUAAAUUUUCAAGGGUGAAAACUGUUCUUAUUUUUUGAAUAUCUGCACAGCAAGGGCGUCGUUUGACGACAUUUUCAUAGGUGUUUAUUAUAUGUAAUAGAAUACAAAAAGUAAACAGUUUUAGGUUAUACAAUAAUGUGAUUAAAAUAAUUACAUA